GCGGCGGAGGGCGACACUACAACCUCGCCUACGUUUCUGCAGGGCAGCCCCGCCGCUGUUGAUGCCGGGUUGGCUACAGAACACUCAAAAAUUGCAAAGAGAAAUAUUGUGUUCUGGAAAUUCUUCUGAGCAUUUUUUUCCAAUAUCGUCCUUAUGCUCUUCUGAUCCUCUCUUGAACUGUUGGACUAAAGCAGCUGACGCUUCCACCAGCAACCAGAGUCAUCCUGUCCACUACUGUGGGAACAGAGGGUUUCCAUUUGGAACUGCAGACCGAGCCUAAAGUCUGGUGGCCCUUUGGUGCCAGGAUAGCAGAAAUGAUUCUACCAAUGCCAGCGGCAUGCACCAGAAACCAGGAAGGAAUCAUACAGCUGAGCCAAACUGCUGUACUUUAAAACACUUGAC